rnacentral:tRNA from 1 species
AGGGAUGUAGCUCAGUGGUAGAGCAUGUGCUUAGCAUGCACAAGGUCCUGGGUUCAAUCCCCAGUACCUCCA